rnacentral:rRNA from 1 species
AACGAACGCUGGCGGCAGGCUUAACACAUGCAAGUCGAACGGAUCCUUCGGGAUUAGUGGCAGACGGGUGAGUAACGCGUGGGAACGUACCCUUUGCUACGGAAUAACUCAGGGAAACUUGAGCUAAUACCGUAUGUGCCCUACGGGGGAAAGAUUUAUCGGCAAAGGAUCGGCCCGCGUUGGAUUAGCUAGUUGGUGGGGUAAUGGCCACCAAGGCGACGAUCCAUAGCUGGUCUGAGAGGAUGAUCAGCCACACUGGGACUGAGACACGGCCCAGACUCCUACGGGAGGCAGCAGUGGGGAAUAUUGGACAAUGGGCGCAAGCCUGAUCCAGCCAUGCCGCGUGAGUGAUGAAGGUCUUAGGAUUGUAAAGCUCUUUCACCGGUGAAGAUAAUGACGGUAGCCGGAGAAGAAGCCCCGGCUAACUUCGUG